rnacentral:rRNA from 1 species
CCUACGGGGGGCAGCAGUGGGGAAUAUUGCACAAUGGGCGCAAGCCUGAUGCAGCCAUGCCGCGUGUGUGAAGAAGGCCUUCGGGUUGUAAAGCACUCUCAGCGGGGAGGAAGGCGGUGAGGUUAAUAACCUCAUCGAUUGACGUUACCCGCAGAAGAAGCACCGGCUAACUCCGUGCCAGCAGCCGCGGUAAUACGGAGGGUGCAAGCGUUAAUCGGAAUUACUGGGCGUAAAGCGCACGCAGGCGGUCUGUCAAGUCGGAUGUGAAAUCCCCGGGCUCAACCUGGGAACUGCAUUCGAAACUGGCAGGCUAGAGUCUUGUAGAGGGGGGUAGAAUUCCAGGUGUAGCGGUGAAAUGCGUAGAGAUCUGGAGGAAUACCGGUGGCGAAGGCGGCCCCCUGGACAAAGACUGACGCUCAGGUGCGAAAGCGUGGGGAGCAAACAGGAUUAGAUACCCGAGUAGUC